rnacentral:Y_RNA from 1 species
GGCUGGUCCGAUGGUAGUGGGUUAUCAGAACUUAUUAACAUUAGUGUCACUAAAGUUGGUAUUCAACCCCCCACUGCUAAAUUUGAUUGGCGAAA